rnacentral:rRNA from 1 species
UACGUAGGGUGCGAGCGUUUAAUCGGAAUUACUGGGCGUAAAGCGUGCGCAGGCGGUUUUGUAAGCCAGAUGUGAAAUCCCCGGGCUUAACCUGGGAAUGGCAUUUGGGACUGCAAGGCUUGAGUGCGGCAGAGGAGACUGGAAUUCCUGGUGUAGCAGUGAAAUGCGUAGAUAUCAGGAGGAAUACCGAUGGCGAAGGCAGGUCUCUGGGCUGACACUGACGCUCAUGCACGAAAGCGUGGGGAGCAAACAGGG